rnacentral:rRNA from 1 species
UACGGGGGGUGCAAGCGUUAUUCGGAAUUAUUGGGCGUAAAGGGCGCGUAGGCGGUCUCUAAAGUCAGAUGUGAAAGCCCGGGGCUUAACCCCGGAAGUGCAUUUGAAACUUAGUGACUUGAGUAUGGGAGAGGGAAGUGGAAUUCCUGGUGUAGCGGUGAAAUGCGUAGAUAUCAGGAGGAACACCAGUGGCGAAGGCGACUUCCUGGACCAAUACUGACGCUGAGGCGCGAAGGCGUGGGGAGCAAACAGGAUUAGAUACCCUGGUAGUCCACGCAGUAAACGGUGAACACUAGGUGUAGCGGGUAUUGACCCCUGCUGUGCCGCAGCUAACGCAUUAAGUGUUCCGCCUGGGGAGUACGAUCGCAAGAUUAAA